AAUAGUAUUUUUUAGAUCAGGAAUAGGAAAGAAUAAUCGAAUCGAACUCAUGAAUUUACCAAGGUCAACUUAGGGCCCAAGAAAGGAUUUUUCUCUUCAAAACCUCUUGUAUUGGAAAGUUGAGUGGACGAGGAAUCAUACAUAAAUGAUCGAACUCUCAUGUGUCCCGAAAAGGCUAUUGAG